rnacentral:rRNA from 1 species
UACGUAGGUGACAAGCGUUGUCCGGAUUUACUGGGCGUAAAGAGCGCGCAGGCGGUCGAUCAAGUCGAGUGUGAAAGCCCCCGGCUCAACUGGGGAGGGUCAUUCGAUACUGAUCGACUCGAAGGCAGGAGAGGGUAGUGGAAUUCCCGGUGUAGUGGUGAAAUGCGUAGAUAUCGGGAGGAACACCAGUGGCGAAGGCGGCUCACUGGAUCGGUACUGACGCUGAGACGCGAAAGCGUGGGGAGCGAACAGG